UUUUCCCCUCCUAAUGAGAUCAUGUAAACUGCUGCCCUACCUACCCCCCUACCCCCCAAUGACAUGUAGAACCCUCUUUGCCUACUCCAACCCCCCUCCUUUUCCCGUCCCACUCUUAUCGCCAUGGUAACCCAUUGGUAUGAGCCUGUGUCUAAACAGGAAGCCUUGGUUAGUUUUAGCCCGUCUCCCAACCAAGCCCUACCCUGCUGCAGGGAGGAGGCAAGGGGAGGUGAGAUACGUCCCUACCCUGCUGCAGGGAGGAGGCAGGGGGAGGUGAGAUACGUCCCUACCCUGCUGCAGGGGGAGGUGAGAUACGUCCCUACCCUGCUGCAGGGGGAGGUGAGAUACGUCCCUACCCUGCUGCAGGGAGGAGGUGAGAUACGUCCCUACCCUGCUGCAGGGAGGAGGCAGGGGGAGGUGAGAUACGUCCCUACACUGCUGCAGGGAGGAGGCAGGGGGAGGUGAGAUGCGUACCCACCCUGCUGCAGGGAGGAGGUGAGAUACAUCCCUACCCUGCUGCAGGGGGAGGUGAGAUACAUCCCUACCCUGCUGCAGGGGGAGGUGAGAUACGUCCCUACCCUGCUGCAGGGGGAGGUGAGAUACGUCCCUACCCUGCUGCAGGGGGAGGUGAGAUACGUCCCUACCCUGCUGCAGGGGGAGGUGAGAUACGUCCCUACCCUGCUGCAGGGGGAGGUGAGAUACGUCCCUACCCUGCUGCAGGGAGGAGGCAGGGAGAGGUGAGAUACAUCCCUACCCUGCUGCAGGGGGAGGUGAGAUACGUCCCUACCCUGCUGCAGGGAGGAGGCAGGGAGAGGUGAGAUACGUCCCUACCCUGCUGCAGGGAGGAGGCAGGGGGAGGUGAGAUACAUCCCUACCCUGCUGCAGGGAGGAGGCAGGGAGAGGUGAGAUACGUCCCUACCCUGCUGCAGGGAGGAGGCAGGGGGAGGUGAGAUACAUCCCUACCCUGCUGCAGGGAGGAGGCAGGGAGAGGUGAGAUACAUCCCUACCCUGCUGCAGGGAGGAGGCAGGGAGAGGUAAGAUACUUCCCUACCCUGCUGCAGGGAGGAGGCAGGGGGAGGUGAGAUACGUCCCUACCCUGCUGCAGGGAGGUGGCAGGGGAGGUGAGAUACUUCCCUACCCUGCUGCAGGGAGGAGGCAGGGGGAGGUGAGAUACAUCCCUACCCUGCUGCAGGGAGGAGGCAGGGAGAGGUGAGAUACGUCCCUACCCUGCUGCAGGGAGGAGGCAGGGGGAGGUGAGAUACGUCCCUGCACUGCUGCAGGGAGGAGGCAGGGGGAGGUGAGAUACGUCCCUACACUGCUGCAGGGAGGAGGCAGGGGGAGGUGAGAUACGUCCCUGCACUGCUGCAGGGAGGAGGCAGGGGGAGGUGAGAUACGUCCCUGCCCUGCUGCAGGGGGAGGUGAGAUACGUCCCUGCCCUGCUGCAGGGGGAGGUGAGAUACGUCCCUACCCUGCUGCAGGGGGAGGUGAGAUACGUCCCUACCCUGCUGCAGGGGGAGGUGAGAUACGUCCCUACCCUGCUGCAGGGGGAGGUGAGAUACGUCCCUACCCUGCUGCAGGGAGGAGGUGAGAUACGACCCUACCCUGCUGCAGGGGGAGGUGAGAUACGUCCCUACACUGCUGCAGGGGGAGGUGAGAUACGUCCCUACCCUGCUGCAGGGGGAGGUGAGAUACGUCCCUACCCUGCUGCAGGGGGAGGUGAGAUACGUCCCUACCCUGCUGCAGGGGGAGGUGAGAUACGUCCCUACCCUGCUGCAGGGAGGAGGUGAGAUACGUCCCUACCCUGCUGCAGGGAGGAGGUGAGAUACGUCCCUACCCUGCUGCAGGGAGGAGGUGAGAUACGUCCCUGCCCUUCGUUCCUUCUCACUGUUUUUGUUUUUCUUCAUUCGUCUUUUGUAUAAACUAGAAUCAUUUCACUGUUUUGCUACUGCUGUGGCAAUCACAGUUCUGUGUCGUACCGCUAGUAUGGGAUGGAACGUAAUUUAAUUUGACUGAGUACGUCACCAAAUCAUCGUCCCAUAUACAAACACACAAGCCAUGUGCUUACCAGCAAGUCAUUUAACAUGGGAGGUUCGUUUCCAGUCCUGCUUCUAUCUAUAUAUAUAUAUAGAGCGCGUGUAUACUUGGUGUAGAACUUUGCAUAUAUAUAAAUAUAAAAAACUUUAGUUUUUCUGUUUUUUGAUGUUGACUAUCUAUAAUGUCUCCUAGUAGUGAACACAUUUCUGACUGUGUAAUUGUACAUUUGUAAACCCUUGUAAUGUAAACGUGAUUUACCACCCUUUUUGGUAUCAGACGAUAUA